UAGGAGUGAAAGGCUAAUCAAACCGGGAGAUAGCUGGUUCUCCCCGAAAUCUAUUUAGGUAGAGCCUCGGACGAAUACUUACGGGGGUAGAGCACUGUUAAGGCUAGGGGGUCAUCCCGACUUACCAACCCUUUGCAAACUCCGAAUACCGUAAAGUAAUAUCCGGGAGACACACGGCGGGUGCUAACGUCCGUCGUGAAGAGGGAAACAACCCAGACCGCCAGCUAAGGUCCCAAAGUCAUAGUUAAGUGGGAAACGAUGUGGAAAGGCCCAGACAGCCAGGAGGUUGGCUUAGAAGCAGCCAUCCUUUAAAGAAAGCGUAAUAGCUCACUGGUCGAGUCGGUCUGCGCGGAAGAUGUAACGGGGCUAAACUAUGCACCGAAGCUGCGGAUUCAAACUUUGUUUGAGUGGUAGGGGAGCGUUCUGUAAGCCGUUGAAGGUGUGCCGGGAGGCAUGCUGGAGGUAUCAGAAGUGCGAAUGCUGACAUGAGUAACGAUAAUGCGGGUGAAAAACCCGCACGCCGGAAGACCAAGGGUUCCUAUCCCAUGUUAAUCAGGGUAGGGUAAGUCGACCCCUAAGGCGAGGCCGAAAGGCGUAGUCGAUGGGAAACGGAUUAAUAUUUCCGUACUUGGUAUAAUUGCGAUGGGGGGACGGAGCAGGCUAAGCAAGCAUGGCGAUGGUAGUCCAUGUGAAAGUGUGUAGGCUAGUGACUUAGGUAAAUCCGGGUUGCUGUUAGGCUGAGACACGAGACGAGUCACCAAGGUGAUGAAGUUGCUGAUGCCAUACUUCCAGGAAAAGCCUCUAAGCUUCAGAUUAUACCGAAUCGUACCCCAAACCGACACAGGUGGUCAGGUAGAGAAUACUAAGGCGCUUGAGAGAACUCGGGUGAAGGAACUAGGCAAAAUCGUACCGUAACUUCGGGAGAAGGUACGCUCCUAUCUGUGAUGAGACUUGCUCUCUAAGCGGACGGGAGCCGCAGUGACCAGGUGGCUGGGACUGUUUAUUAAAAACACAGCACUGUGCAAAAUCGCAAGAUGACGUAUACGGUGUGACACCUGCCCGGUGCCGGAAGGUUAAUUGAUGGGGUUAUCCUUAGGGAGAAGCUCUUGAUCGAAGCCCCGGUAAACGGCGGCCGUAACUAUAACGGUCCUAAGGUAGCGAAAUUCCUUGUCGGGUAAGUUCCGACCUGCACGAAUGGUGUAACCAUGGCCACGCUGUCUCCACCCGAGACUCAGUGAAAUUGAAAUCGCAGUGAAGAUGCUGUGUACCCGCGGCUAGACGGAAAGACCCCGUGAACCUUUACUACAGCUUGGCACUGAACAUUGAACCUACAUGUGUAGGAUAGGUGGGAGACUU
rnacentral:rRNA from 2 species